UACGGAGGGUGCGAGCGUUGUCCGGAAUCACUGGGCGUAAAGGGCGCGUAGGCGGCCUGAUAAGUAGGGGGUGAAAUCUUGCGGCUUAACCGCAAAGCUGCCUUCUAAACUGUCAGGCUCGAGCACAGUAGAGGCAGGUGGAAUUCCCGGUGUAGCGGUGGAAUGCGUAGAGAUCGGGAAGAACAUCAGUGGCGAAGGCGGCCUGCUGGGCUGUUGCUGACGCUGAGGCGCGACAGCGUGGGGAGCAAACAGG
rnacentral:rRNA from 1 species